AUGGACAUGAGGGUCCCUGCUCAGCUCCUGGGGCUCCUGCUGCUCUGGCUCUCAGGUGCCAGAUAUGACAUGCAGAUGACCCAGUCUCCAUCCUCGCUGUCUUCCUGUCUAGGUGAGAGUCACCAUCACAUGCCAGGAAAGUCAGGCAGGGCAUUAGCCAUGUUUUAGCCUGAUACAAAGAGAAGCCAGGGAAAGCUUCUGAGCUCCUGAUCUACGAUGCAUCCAAUUUGCAAACCUGGGUCCCAUUGCAGUUAUGUGGCAUUGGAUCCAGGACAGAUUUGAUUCUCACCAUUAGCAUCCUCCAGUCUGAAGUUGCUGCAACUUCUUAUUAUUGGUCAACAGUAUAAAAGUGACCCU